GUGAGCCGGUGGGCGGCUGCCGGGCCAUAGGCCUGAGGAAACUCCAUCCACCGAGCAGGACCGCGACGCCGCGAGGCGUAGGGGGAGACCCCUGGCAACGGACAGAGACGAGACCUCCGAGGGCACUGCGAUGAUGCCUGUGUAGGGUUGAGGACGCCCUUGGAUCGGGUGAGACGGCCGACCCAGCGGGGUGAAAGGGCGAAUAGGGGUCCAUCGACGACCUGCAGGAGGACCCGGGUAGCCCGUACAGCUGGAUGCCGCCGCGAACAGAAGGUGGGUUACGGCCGGCACAC
rnacentral:RNase_P_RNA from 1 species